UCCAGGACAGUGGGCAGGAGCAG
rnacentral:piRNA from 1 species